rnacentral:rRNA from 1 species
AUUAAACGCUGGCGGCAUGCCUUACACAUGCAAGUCGAACGGCAGCACGGGGCAACCCUGGUGGCGAGUGGCGGACGGGUGAGUAAUGCAUCGGAACGUGCCCUGAAGUGGGGGAUAACGCAGCGAAAGCUACGCUAAUACCGCAUAUUCUGUGAGCAGGAAAGCAGGGGAUCGCAAGACCUUGCGCUUUGGGAGCGGCCGAUGUCGGAUUAGCUAGUUGGUGGGGUAAAGGCCGUACCAAGGCGACGAUCCGUAGCGGGUCUGAGAGGAUGAUCCGCCACACUGGGACUGAGACACGGCCCAGACUCUACGGAGGCAGCAUGGGGAAUUUUGGACAAUGGCGGAAGCCUGAUCCAGCCAUGCCGCGUGAGUGAAGAAGGC